rnacentral:lncRNA from 1 species
AGAGUAGAGGUGCAUGAGUAACACAAUGUGAUGAGAAGUGUGGUGGAGGGAUGUAAAGGCUGAGGGAUCCUAGAGGAGGGAGUGACUGACUGUGACUUAGGGGGCCAGGAAAAUUUGCUUGGAAAAUGAGGAUGUUUCACUUGCAGAUAAAGCAAAAGUAGUAAGGAGGGGAGAAAGUCUCGGCCAAAGGGAAGGGCAGGUGCUUAGGCACUGGGGUGAGCCUGUUCUGAAUAAGUGGUCCUCUGUCAUGAUAGGCAGAUAGCUUGUCUUGCUAGUGAAAGACUUAAAAUACCUCAUAAAAAAGUUAGUUUGGAGAGCUUUCCCUGGGACAUAGUAAAAGACAGCCUGGAAUGAGGUACUAAAGGCAGUCAGCCCAGUGAAUGGAGUUUGCAACAGAUCAGGUAGGUAGACCUGCAUUUAGUUAUUGGUCACAGAAAUGGAGGGGGGAAGAUAUUGCAAAGUCAAGAUGCCUUAGCGACAGACCCCUAAGUCAUCGGAACUUCAGGGCAGAACUGCCUGUGUGGGAACUCUCCCAUGUCUCCUUGAUUUCGCGGCCACCUCUGCAGGCGCCCUCUCUCGUCUCCGUCGCCAGCCCCCGCCUCCUUUCUCCGUAAGCUUGGGUCUCCCUGGGAGCGGGUCUGCCCUUGGGGGAGGUCUCUGGGCUCUGUGCCCUACAGCUCUGCCGACAUUGGGGGCAGACAGAAGCGGGGUUCGGCGCCCCCCGCGUGCACGUGUGCUAGCCCAGGCAGGAGGGAGCGCCUCGGCGGAGGAGUCAAGGAAGAGGGGGAGGGAGAAACGCGCCAGAACCUCGGUCCCGGGCGCCCUGGUCGGCCGCGGAGGAGCUGCAGCCUCCAACAGGAAGGUGUGGUCCCUGCCAUGCUAUCUGCUCUGCUCACUGACUGAAGGCACCUGCAUCCCAGCUCUGCCAGGAAGCAAAGAUUGCAAACAAUGUGUUGAUUUUUUUGAAAAAGUGAAAACUGCCACACCAUCACAUAGGAGCCUGGAGCAGCCGACACCAGAAAAAGGUUGGGAAACAUAACGUUGGGAAAUAGUUCAGUCAAUGCAUAAGACAGGAAUAGUGAGCAAAACAGCUCCCUUUUUAAAAAAGGAAUUUAUAGCAUCAGAAUUCUGAAUCAUGCUUCACUGGUAAAUUCUACCAAACAUUUAAGGAAGAAAUAAUACCAAUUCUACACAAAAUAUUUUUAGAAAAUAGGAGGGAACCUUGCAACUCAUUUUAAGAGGCCAGCAUUAGCUUGAUACCAAAACCACACACAGGCGUUACAAGAAAACCACAAGCCAAUACCCCUCAUGAAGACAGAUGCAAAAAUCCUCGCAAAAUAUUAGCAAACUGAAUCCAGCCAUCUGCACCUUAUUUCCAGAUGCUCACAGCUGAGCUCUUCCCAG